AUUGAACGCUGGCGGAAUGCUUUACACAUGCAAGUCGAACGGCAGCACGGACUUCGGUCUGGUGGCGAGUGGCGAACGGGUGAGUAAUACAUCGGAACGCGUCCUGUAAUGGGGGAUAACCUGGCGAAAGCCAGGCUAAUACCGCAUACGUCCUGAGGGAGAAAGCGGGGGAUCGCAAGACCUCGCGUUAUAGGAGCGGCCGAUGUCGGAUUAGCUAGUUGGUGGGGUAAAGGCCUACCAAGGCGACGAUCUGUAGCGGGUCUGAGAGGACGGCCCGCCACACUGGGACUGAGACACGGCCCAGACUCCUACGGGAGGCAGCAGUGGGGAAUUUUGGACAAUGGGGGCAACCCUGAUCCAGCCAUUCCGCGUGAGUGAAGAAGGCCUCGG
rnacentral:rRNA from 1 species